GACGAACGCUGGCGGCGUGCUUAACACAUGCAAGUCGAACGGAAAGGCCUGCUUUCCCUUGUGGAUUGCGGGUACUCGAGUGGCGAGCGGGUGAGUAACACGUGAGUGAUCUGCCCCCAACUUGGGUAUAAGCCUGGGAAACUGGGUCUAAUUCCCGAUAGGACUGCAGGGUGGUGCCUGUGGUGGAAAACGAUUUUCUAGUGGUUGGGGAUGAGCUCGCGGCCUAUCAGCUUGUUGGUGGGGUAAUGGCCUACCAAGGCGGCGACGGGUAGCCGGCCUGGGAGGGUGGACGGCCACAUUGGGACUGAGAUACGGCCCAGACUCCUACGGGAGGCAGCAGUGGGGAAUAUUGCACAAUGGGCGGAAGCCUGAUGCAGCGACGCCGCGUGGGGGAUGACGGCCUUCGGGUUGUAAACUCCUUUCGACCGCGAGGAAGCCACCUGGUUGGAAGGGUGGUGACGGUAGUGGUAGAAGAAGCACCGGCUAACUACGUG
rnacentral:rRNA from 1 species